UUUUCCUGGGCUGUACAGAGACUCGUUACCCUUUUAUCCUCUACAGUCCUUUCUGUUUACUUAGUUCUACAACUGCCUCAUCUCACUGUGUUCUUGUAGUAUAACUGUGGGGCUCUUCCCCUUUUAGUUAAGAAAGAAGCAAGACCUGGAGAGAAUAACAUGCUCAAUUAUGAGCUCCCUCUGCUGUUUUCUGGAAGCUCUGAGAAGGCGGUGCCUACAGUUCACAACUCCAAAAGCACCCAACACAUUGUUAUCACAAUAAUUUAUAGCCAGGA
rnacentral:lncRNA from 1 species